rnacentral:rRNA from 1 species
CAGCCGCCGCGGGAAUACGUAGGGUGCGAGCGUCAAUCGGAAUUACUGGGCGUAAAGCGUGCGCAGGCGGCUUUGCAAGACAGAUGUGAAAUCCCCGGGCUCAACCUGGGAACCGCAUUUGUGACUGCAAGGCUAGAGUGCGGCAGAGGGAGAUGGAAUUCCGCGUGUAGCAGUGAAAUGCGUAGAUAUGCGGAGGAACACCGAUGGCGAAGGCAAUCCCCUGGGCCUGCACUGACGCUCAUGCACGAAAGCGUGGGGAGCAAACAGGAUUAGAUACCCCAGUAGUCCCUGUCUCUUAUAC